CAGCCGCGGUAAUACGUAGGCGCCAAGCGUUAUCCGGAAUUAUUGGGCGUAAAGCGUCUGUCGGCGGUAAUGUAAGUCUGGUGUGAAAUUUCAAUGCUUAACAUUGAAUGCGUACCGGAAACUAUAUUACUAGAGUCUAAGAGAGGCCACUGGAAUUUCUGUUGUAGGGGUAAAAUCCGUAGAUAACAGAAGGAACACCAAAAGCGAAAGCAGGUGGCUGGCUUAGUACUGACGCUCAGAGACGAAAGCGUGGGUAGCGAACGGGAUUAGAUACCCCGGUAGUCCACGCCGUAAACUAUGAGUGCUAGGUGUUGGAGGGAUUCGACCCCCUUCAGUGUCUACAGCUAACGCGUUAAGCACUCCGCCUGGGGAGUACGGUCGCAAGACUAAAACUCAAAGGAAUAGACGGGGACCCGCACAAGCGGUGGAUCAUGUGGUUUAAUUCGACGAUAAGCGAGAAACCUCACCUAGACUUGACAUCUCGAGAAGGUUCUAGAAAUAGAACUGUGCCUUUUGGAACUCGAUGACAGGUGCUGCAUGGUUGUCGUCAGCUCGUGCCCUGAGGUGUUCGGUUAAGUCCGUAAACGAGCGCAACCCUUGUAAUAUGUUGUAUUUUUCAUAUUAGACUGCCGGCUCCAAGCCGGAGGAAGGUAGGGAUGACGUCAAAUCAGCAUGGCCCUUAUGUCUAGGGCUACACACGUGAUACAAUGGAUCGUACAAUGGGUAGCCAAGGAGUAAUCUGGAGCCAAUCCCAAGAACGAUCCUCAGUUCGGAUUGAGGUCUGCAACUCGACCUCAUGAAGUUGGAAUCGCUAGUAACCGUGGAUCAGAAUGCCACGGUGAAUAUGUUCCCGGGUCUGCACUCACCGCCCGUC
rnacentral:rRNA from 1 species